rnacentral:misc_RNA from 1 species
ACCGAAGCCACAUUUUUCGCUACAUUUCAAAGCUAAAGAAAGCAUUAUCUGGGGGUUUUUCUUUUUCCCUAAUUCAUGUAACUUACAGCAGUGCAAUAACAAGUUACAAAGUUUUGUAAAAUAAAUCGAAUUAUAUUGCAUGAGGGAGGCUACAGAUACAAAAAUUAGCACAACACAUAUGAGCCCUUUCCAACAACUGCAUUACAAUCAAUCAAAUCACUGUUGAAAUACACAGAACCAGUUUGAUUAAUUAUAGGAAGAAAAUGCAACAACAGGUGUCUUCAUUUCAACAAUGGCAAGAUAAUACCUCCUUAUGCUGAUCCAAAUUCUGAAAACCACUUCUCAUGC